rnacentral:rRNA from 1 species
CUCAAAUUUGAAAUCUGGUAGCCUUCGGUUGCCCGAGUUGUAAUCUAGAGAAGUGUUUUCCGUGCCGGCCCAUGUACAAGUCCCUUGGAACAGGGCGUCAUAGAGGGUGAGAAUCCCGUCCUUGACAUGGACCCCCGGUGCUUUGUGAUACACUUUCAACGAGUCGAGUUGUUUGGGAAUGCAGCUCAAAAUGGGUGGUGAAUUCCAUCUAAAGCUAAAUAUUGGCGAGAGACCGAUAGCGAACAAGUACCGUGAGGGAAAGAUGAAAAGCACUUUGGAAAGAGAGUUAAACAGUACGUGAAAUUGUUGAAAGGGAAACGAUUGAAGUCAGUCAUGCUCUUGGGACUUACCUCCCUUGAGUGGGGUCAACAUCAGUUUUGAUCGAUGGAUAAAGGCACGGGGAAGGUAGCACUCUCGGGUGAACUUAUAGCCUCGCGUCAUAUACAUUGAUUGGGACUGAGGAACGCAGCAUGCCUUAUGGCCGGGAUUCGUCCACGUACAUG